rnacentral:rRNA from 1 species
CCUACGGGAGGCUGCAGUGAGGAAUAUUGGUCAAUGGGCGUAAGCCUGAACCAGCCAAGCCGCGUGAGGGAAGACUGCCCUAUGGGUUGUAAACCUCUUUUGUCAGGGAGCAAAUGGCGGUACGUGUAGCGUUAUCGAGAGUACCUGAAGAAAAAGCAUCGGCUAACUCGGUACAGGCAGCCGCGGUAAUACGGGGGAUGCGAGCGUAAUCCGGAUUAAUUGGGUUUAAAGGGUGCGUAGGUGGAAUGCCAAGUCAGCGGGAAAAGCGCGGGGCUAAACCUCGCCCCGCCGUUGAAACUGGCGGUCUUGAGUGGGCGAGAGGUAUGCGGAAUGCGUGGUGUAGCGGUGAAAUGCGUAGAUAUCACGCAGAACUCCGAUUGCGAAGGCAGCAUACCGGCGGCCAACUGACGCUGAGGCACGAAAGCGUGGGUAUCGAACAGGAUUAGAUACCCGGGUAGUC